rnacentral:snoRNA from 1 species
GAGUGAUGAGGAAAUGCUCCUGUGACAACUGGGUUCGUCACAUUCAUCUGAUCUCAGAUGUUUUACGAGCUAGUCUGAACUC